GCUUAACGCGAAGAACCUUACCUACUCUUGACAUCCAGAGAACUUAGCAGAGAUGCUUUGGUGCCUUCGGGAACUCUGAGACAGGUGCUGCAUGGCUGUCGUCAGCUCGUGUUGUGAAAUGUUGGGUUAAGUCCCGCAACGAGCGCAACCCUUAUCCUUUGUUGCCAGCGGUUAGGCCGGGAACUCAAAGGAGACUGCCAGUGAUAAACUGGAGGAAGGUGGGGAUGACGUCAAGUCAUCAUGGCCCUUACGAGUAGGGCUACACACGUGCUACAAUGGCAUAUACAAAGAGAAGCGACCUCGCGAGAGCAAGCGGACCUCAUAAAGUAUGUCGUAGUCCGGAUUGGAGUCUGCAACUCGACUCCAUGAAGUCGGAAUCGCUAGUAAUCGUGGAUCAGAAUGCCACGGUGAAUACGUUCCCGGGUC
rnacentral:rRNA from 1 species